UCCUGUUUGUGCACCGAAUCCACCGACUUCUACAUGGCUAUGCAUAUUGCGCAUAUAACUUUGCUAAACGGCUUGAUUCGAAUACGGCGUUCUGGACGACUCGAGUACCGUUAUUUUUCCGGCGAACCAACGCCGUCGUACAAGAUAUUUCAGUCUUCAGUGCAACACGGCGCACACGGAAUAUACGUCGCAUUAUUAUUGUUUUUAAACGCACAGGCCGAAAAACAAUGGGCGAAAUACAAACGACGCGGGACGGAAAAUAAUUACGAAAAUUAUGCCGACAAUAACGGCCGGAGUCGCCGUUGCUCCCCGGGACCGAAGACGCGGUUCGGCCGGAACGGGACGGCACGAGAAGAUUUUCGAUCGCACG